UUUCAGAACUCCAUAGCUGAUUGAGUGUCACCUUUGCUUUGGCUAUGGCACUAAAUAAAAACAGUGGGCUUUUGUUAAAUGGGGGUAAAGUCCCCAAUGUCAACGACCUUUAGAGGAGCCCCAAACACUAUUUCACAGGGUGGGCAAGCUCCAUUAAGAACAGGUCUAUGGACUGGGCUUCAUACACAACCUUCCAGGCCUAGGAUGCCAGGGAGGCAGGCUCUCUGCGGACCACUGAAGGUUCAGGCCUCAUCAAUGCACUACUGAUAAAGUUGAGAAGAAAGAAUUCUAACAGUGAGUAGAGUAAUACUCACAGUUAAUCCAACUCCAAUGAAAAUACAGAUCAUUCCAAUGGUGAUAUAUGCACAGCAGCGUCUUCGUGGAAGCGCACUACCCACUGAAGAACUGAAAAUUCACAACAGCAAAAGAGAGCAUUAUUCACGUUCAGUUCUCCAUUUCAUCUCUCUAGAUUAGAAAACUCCAAGAGGGAAGGAAAUGUGCCUUCCUGUUCCUUCCUUGUGCAGUCCAGAGCCUCGCACGCACUCAGUAAUUCUAUCUCAACAAAUGAAAUGAGCUCACUUAUAAUGCGGCCAUAAGGACUGUCCAUGGCAAGGACUGAGAAAAUAAAAUAUAACUGAGCAAAAUGCAAAUGUAAGUGGUAAAUGAAUUUUACAAAGUAUAAUACCAUGAGGAUAAAGAGGAGAUAUGGCCUCAAAUCUCUGGACAAUGAACACUGAUGGAACCGGGAGCUGGCUUAGGGCAAGGGGUGCUGAAACUUGCCAGUCCGCAGAGAGAUUUGCCAAAGGAAAGCAAGCUGGCUCAGGCGUGUCACUCACAAGAAACCACAGGAUCAUUCCCCAGAGAAACCUGCCCUCCAAGAAGACUUCCUGAUACUAAGAGUUGACAGUUCUUCAAAAAAUGGGAAAGGAAAAAGAAAAAAAGAGGAAGAGGAAGAAUGGGGAAAGAGAGAAGGAAGAAAGGAAA